rnacentral:rRNA from 1 species
UACGGAGGGUGCAAGCGUUGUCCGGAAUUACUGGGUUUAAAGGGUACGUAGGUGGGCAGCUAAGUCUGGAGUGAAAGUUUGAGGCUCAACCUCGAAAGUGCUUUGGAUACUGGUUGUCUAGAAUUAGAUAGAGGUAGCUGGAAUUUGUGGUGUAGCGGUGAAAUGCAUAGAUACCACGAGGAACACCAAUUGCGAAGGCAGGCUACUGGGUCUAUAUUGACACUGAUGUACGAAAGUGUGGGUAGCGAACAGG